rnacentral:rRNA from 1 species
GGAGUUUGGGCCGUGUCUCAGUCCCAAUGUGGCCGGUCACCCUCUCAGGUCGGCUAUGGAUCGUCGGCUUGGUGGGCCGUUACCUCACCAACUACCUAAUCCAACGCGGGCCCAUCUCACACCACCGGAGUUUUUCACACUCUGCCAUGCAGCAGUGUGCGCUUAUGCGGUAUUAGCAGUCGUUUCCAACUGUUGUCCCCCAGUGUGAGGCAGGUUGCCCACGCGUUACUCACCCGUCCGCCACUAAGUCACAAGAUCCUUCAAUCCGAAGAAAUCAGGUUCAAGUGCUUCGUUCGACUUGCAUGUGUUAAGCACGCCGCCAGCGUUCAUC